rnacentral:misc_RNA from 1 species
UCCCAAACCCCUGUGAACAUACCGAAUGUUGCUUCGGCGGGAUCGCCCCGGUGCCCUCUGCGCCCCGGAUCCAGGCACCCGCCGGAGGCCCCCAAACUCUUGUUUUUCCAUGUGGUAUUCUCUGAGUCUCACAAACAAAUAAAUCAAAACUUUCAACAACGGAUCUCUUGGUUCUGGCAUCGAUGAAGAACGCAGCGAAAUGCGAUAAGUAAUGUGAAUUGCAGAAUUCAGUGAAUCAUCGAAUCUUUGAACGCACAUUGCGCCCGCUAGUACUCUAGCGGGCAUGCCUGUUCGAGCGUCAUUUCAACCCUCAAGCCCCCUUCGGGGCUUGGUGUUGGGGACCGGCCGCCGCUUCACCCCGGCGGCCGCCCCCGAAUUCUAGUGGCGGUCUCGCUGUAGCCUCCUCUGCGUAGUAGCAACACCUCGCACUGGAACGCGGCGCGGCCACGCCGUAAAAC